GACGAACGCUGGCGGCGUGCCUAACACAUGCAAGUCGAGCGAGUGGAGUUCUUCGGAACAAAGCUAGCGGCGGACGGGUGAGUAACACGUGGGCAACCUGCCUCAUAGAGGGGAAUAGCCUCCCGAAAGGGAGAUUAAUACCGCAUAAGAUUGUAGCUUCGCAUGAAGUAGCAAUUAAAGGAGCAAUCCGCUGUGAGAUGGGCCCGCGGCGCAUUAGCUAGUUGGUGAGGUAACGGCUCACCAAGGCGACGAUGCGUAGCCGACCUGAGAGGGUGAUCGGCCACGUUGGGACUGAGACACGGCCCAGACUCCUACGGGAGGCAGCAGUGGGGAAUAUUGCACAAUGGGGGAAACCCUGAUGCAGCAACGCCGCGUGAGUGAUGACGGCCUUCGGGUUGUAAAGCUCUGUCUUCAGGGACGAUAAUGACGGUACCUGAGGAGGAAGCCAAGGCUAACUACGUGCCAGCAGCCGCCGUAAAAC
rnacentral:rRNA from 1 species